GCCAAGUGCAGUGGCGCGUGCCUGCAGUCCCAGCUACUCAGGAGGCUGAGGUGGGAGAAUCGCUUCAGCCCAGGAGUUCUGGGCUGUAUGCGCUAUGCCAAUCGGGUGCCCCCACUAAGUUUUGCAUCAAUAUGGUGACGUCCCAGCAGGAGACCACCAGGUUGCCUAAGGAGGGGUGAACUGACCCAGGUCAGAAACAGAGCAGGUCAAAACUCCCGUGCUGAUCAGUAGUGGGAUCGCGCCUGUGAAUAGCCACUGCACUCCAGCCUGGGCAACAUGACAAUACUCCGUCCCU
rnacentral:SRP_RNA from 1 species